UCCUCACACUUACUUUGGGAGUAUCUUCCCACAGCUGUGUGAAGCAAGAAGCGCUUUUAUCCAGAAUUUUGGUUUCAGCUUUAUUCUCUGUCGCACCGCACCCUGAAACAGUGCCUUGUUGACCCUCUUUGAAUCCUCCAUCAGCCUCAGCCAGGCAUAUGGGGAGAACAUUGGGCCCUAACUUCACCCUGGAAGACAUUCUGAUGAGAGCUAUGUCGUUGUCGUAGUUAGUGCGUUCCUCACCAGCUAUGCCCUUCAUGUAGUCAGGGUGAAUGAUGAUCUUCUCUGUUACCAUGACAACCACGUCAGGAUCAGUUUAUUUUGCUUUGCCCUAUCUAUCAGCCCCCCGAAAAAUGUAAUGGUGCUUUCUUCAUAGCCAUCUACAAGACUAGCUGCUGUGAUGGCCCACCGGUCAUUGAUCAGGGAUGCUCCUCCUCUUUUGGAAUGUUUUGAGAGAAGCUGCCAGGGUAUCUCUCCCAUCUUCGCUGGUCUGCCUCCCACAUUUCUGCCAAUGCUGAGACUACUUGUUUCUGCUGUCCACACACUAUAAGAUAGACAAUUCAGAUGAGUGUCUGAAAAACAUCCUUAGAUAGUGGGCAACAUCUGCAGAGAUGAAACUAUACUUUAUGGCAAUCAAUACCUGCGAUGCAUUUCGGCAACUUUUCUAGACCAUUAACUGAUCUCCAGAUACCAUCGGAAUCACAGAUGUACUUCUCUAAAAGAACAGAAGAGAGGUAAAAACAGAGGUUGAGCAGUCAGAAACAUUGUGCAAGGAAGGACACAGAAAGCAUGGGAAAGGUCAAAUACAAGACUAGUGAGUUGUGGCAGUUGGUGAACAAAACAAACAUGAUUUCCGCCCACCGUCUCCCUCCAAUGUGUAGUAUUUGGAUUCACACUUGGACUGGACCUCGUCAUGAAACAACAGAGUGCUUGGAUUUGGCUCUACCAGUUGAAGGGCCUGAUCACUAGAAGUGUCUGGUAUUCUGCAAUAUCCAACUAAAGUGAGGAAAGAAACAUGCCGUUUUAGAACAAAAAACAAUAGAAAACAUAUGCCCACAGGAGCUUCCCACUGGGCACACACUGGUUAAAUCAACAUUGUUUCCACGUCAUUUCAAUGAAAUUACGUUUAACCAACGUGGAACAGACGUUGAAUUGACCUCUGUGCCCAGUGGGUUGUUUCUCACUCAUACUUUGUCUGUCCCUUAUAGUGUUCUUGAUCCAGUCUAGGUAGUUAGCCACACGAGAGUAGACCCCAUAUCUUCCAGGCUCUCCACAGUUAAUCCCCCAGCUGACGAUUCCUGCUGCCCAGAAAGGCCCAGGAAGGUUUCCUGCUUUUCGCAGGACGUACGCCCCUCCACUGUCCCCCUGACAGGAGUCCUUGCCUCCCUCAGGAUUCCCAGCACAGAACAUGUUGUCUGUUAGACUGGGAAUUCCUUUCCUUUCAUCUCUGCCUUCAAUAGACUUUCUACAGAUUGUCUGGUUCACCACAGGUAGAGGAACAUACAUGAGGUUAUUGGUAUAUGUAUCAAACUCCAUGGUGCCAAAUCCUGAUACCAAGCUGAAGCAGAGAGAAAGCGAGAAGAAAGGAAUAUACAUAAGAUGCUGUUCAACUUAACAAUUUUAACAAUCAAUACAAAAUCAGCAAAUAUCCACAUAUUGAGUAAAUUGUUAACAUGCAGAUAUUUGUAGUUGACUGUUUUAGACAUAAAACCUAGGCUUACCCAUUCCGCCCAGUCGGGUAUUUAGCAUCCUUUGCUGGCAGACACAGUGGCAUGACAUGAGCAUUGAAUGUGAUUGGGUGUUGAAGAUGGAUCAGGGCGAUGUCAUGGUCAUACUCUACACCAUCUAUGUUGUUGUAUUCAGGGUGAAGAUGGAGAGAGGCGACCUCAAGAGGUGGAGACUGGUGUGCGGUCAUCCAGCGGUGUCCCUGGAGAGUUACCAGAGGGUUCUGGGUGGGGAUGUUGCUCCUAACGCAAUCUUCCCCUGGUAUGCUCAGUUCAGAGUCAAAGACAGAGUAAUGAGUGGGCCGCAGUGAUCAGAGACCCGUGGGUCAUGACCUCUGAACUGACCAAGGAAGACAUUAAGGUAACGGUCAUACGAUGCUGUAUGGGCCCGAAUUUAUGCCUUUCCUACGCACUUCUUGUCACACCCUGAUCUGUUUCACCUGUCUUGUUCUUGUCUCCACCUC